rnacentral:lncRNA from 1 species
AUGGGACCCCUCUCCGGGCAGCCCCCUCCUCAAUCCCUGUGCCUUUCGUGCCCGGAGGAGCUGCCAGCCCCUUGGAGGGGGUGCAGAGGGACCACGCUUUGCUUCCUUGCCCCAUGGGGGUUGGCACCCACCCCCACGAACCUGCCAGCCCUUUCUGACUCCAGCCGGGCUUUGGGGCGCACCUUGGGAUUUGAGAAACAGCCGAGGAAUUUCCUGGGCUCCAGGGUGUCUCUGGCAGUGCGGAACGCUGCUCAUGGUGCUGCUUCUCAGCAGCCUCCUGGCCAACACCUCCAGCUCCCACCGCCCUGCCUGCCACUGCCACUGCGUCCUGGGGCUGCCCGCUUGCUGCCCCCCCCAUCUCAGCCUCAUGUUCCCUCUGCCCCCCAGCCACCAUCCUCCUCCUCUGCCCCAGGGGACCGUGCCAGCUCUGCACACCUGAAGUUAAAAAGUGCUGGUGCUCAGCUGCACCCACAUGUGCCGUUGUGGUGUCCAUGCUCCUCCUGGUGCCCCCAACCCCUCAGAAGGGUUUCCUCAGUGAGAAGGGAGCCACACAUCUUGGGUAAGGGGGCACCAACACACCGAGGUCCUUCACAGCCCUGCCAGAUGAAACCAGACCCACGGAGAGGUGUUGGGAGGCAUACGGAGCCCUCUGGACACCGAAGUGGCUUGGGGAUGGAUGGAUUUUGGGGCUGGUGCCUGCUCUGUGGGCCCCAGAGCCGAAGAGAGUGGCACCACCUCGUGCUUGUGGACGUGCUGGAAGAGUCACAUGAGAUGGAGCGAACCCCAGGGCGCAGACAUCGCUGACAGCCAUCCGGUGCCCAUGGCCGUCAUGUUGACGACACCGUGCCGGACUGCCAGGCGUGUCUCGCCUCCCGUCCAGGCUGCAGGACUCUUUCCCAAGUGCUCUGGCUUUCGGCAGAGCCGGUUGCCCAAGCGGCCCACGCGGCCCUGCCAAGCUGUGUGCCACGGCCCUUGCGCAACGGUGUUGAUAAACACUGCGGGGCAUGCCAAGUCCUGCGAGACAACAGCUGAUGUGCUGGGCUGAGGGAGUGCCCGGCACAGCAAGAGGAAUUUUCCACUCUUCUCCAGAAAGUGCAUCUCACCCCGCUGGGGAUUGUCCCCAGCAAGGUGCAGACCUGUUUACUGGUGUCCCUGUCUGGCCCUAUAAGCCCUGCCAUGCAGCCCCACGCACGGGGCAAGGCAAGGGGUGGCUGCAUUGCCUUGGGCACGGUGGCACCCCCAGAGGGCUGGGUUGGGAUGCCGCCGUACCCAAGGUGACCCAAGCAUCCCCUUGGGGCCCUGGCUCUGCCUUCUCCUUCUGCUGUGUCUUCUGGCACGUUGGAAACCUCUCAAAGAGCAGCGGGUUUGCAGGAUGAAAAGGGUGUGCUGCAUCACGUGCUGGCUGAUACAUGGCAAUUAGCGUGCUAAAACCCAAUUUAAUUUGACCGGCUCACGUCCUGGAGCUGCAGGUCACAUCGUCUGCCGUGCAGCCCGAACGUGCUCGUAACAGCCAGGCUCUGCUGCAGGCAGGCUGGGCUCAUCAAGGAGGAGCGCACGGGAUGUUUGGGAAGCCUGCUGGCCCCUGCAGAUAGCCAGGGGCAAGCGGGGCACCCACAGCUGCUGGGCAGCAAGGAAAUGGGAUUAUCUGGGGCAACAUUUGUAAGUCAGCAGCUGCUGAGCCCUGGCAUGAGGGGCUCAGCAGUGUGGGGAAAGCAGCUG